rnacentral:rRNA from 1 species
UACGGAGGGGGCUAGCGUUGUUCGGAAUUACUGGGCGUAAAGGGCGCGUAGGCGGCUUGGCAAGUCAAAGGUGAAAUCCCUCGGCUCAACUGAGGAACUGCCUUUGAAACUGCCUGGCUUGAGGCCGGGAGGGGGUAGCGGAAUUCCCAGUGUAGCGGUGAAAUGCGUAGAUAUUGGGAGGAACACCAGUGGCGAAGGCGGCUACCUGGACCGGUUCUGACGCUGAUGCGCGAAAGCGUGGGUAGCAAACAGG